CCUACGGGUGGCAGCAGUGAGGAAUAUUGGUCAAUGGGCGAGAGCCUGAACCAGCCAAGUCGCGUGAGGGAAGACGGCCCUACGGGUUGUAAACCUCUUUUGCCGGGGAGCAACGGGCUCCACGUGUGGCGCCACUGAGAGUAUCCAGAGAAAAAGCAUCGGCUAACUCAGUGCCAGCAGCCGCGUUAAUACGGAGGAUGCGAGCGUUAUCCGGAUUUAUUGGGUUAAAGGGGUGCGUAGUCGGAGCGUUAAGUCAGUGGUCAAAUUGAGGGGCUCAACCCCUUCCCGCCAUUGAAACUGGCGCUCUUGAGUGGAAGAGACGUAUGCGGAAUGCGUGGUGUAGCGGUGAAAUGCAUAGAUAUCACGCAGAACCCCGAUUGCGAAGGCAGCAUGCCGGCUUCCUACUGACGCUGAAGCACGAAAGCGUGGGGAUCGAACAGGAUUAGAUACCCUGGUAGUC
rnacentral:rRNA from 1 species